UGGGGGAUAUUGCACAAUGGGCGAAAGCCUGAUGCAGCGACGCCGCGUGGGGGAUGAAGGCUUUCGGGUUGUAAACCUCUUUCGCUAUCGAACAAGGCCCGCUUAGGGUGGGUUGAGGGUAGGUGGAGAAGAAGCGCCGGCUAACUACGUGCCAGCAGCCGCGGUAAUACGUAGGGCGCGAGCGUUGUCCGGAAUUAUUGGGCGUAAAGGGCUUGUAGGCGGCUUGUUGCGCCUGCUGUGAAAACGCGGGGCUUAACUUCGCGCGUGCAGUGGGUACGGGCAGGCUUGAGUGUGGUAGGGGUGACUGGAAUUCCAGGUGUAGCGGUGGAAUGCGCAGAUAUCUGGAGGAGCACCGAUGGCGAAGGCGGGUCACUGGGCCAUUACUGACGCUGAGGAGCGAAAGCAUGGGUAGCGAACAGG
rnacentral:rRNA from 1 species